rnacentral:lncRNA from 1 species
CAAGUUGAUUUCUUACAUAGAUAUUGAUUAAACAUUGAAGGAAGAACAUCCACUAAAUAGAAAGUCUUGAUUUCAUAUGGUGACAAUUAUGGCAAGAAUGAUUCUUACUGAAUGUUGUUUCAAGUGAAGACAUUGGAGGAGAAGCAUCCCCUUCCAGCCCAGCAACUGGGGUGUUGGACAUCUUCUCAUUAGGUAUCUUCCAGGGCCUACCAGAAAGGGAAAAAUAGAAGGAACAAAUGAAAAUUCCAAAAAAUCACUUCACUGAUAAUGCAAAUUUGAUUCCAAAGUGCUUUGGCAUAGCGUAAUAUCUCAAUAAAACAUCAAGUGCACUACUAAGAAUCUUGGAAAACAAUACCAUCCAUUAAACUACCAAUCAGUUGAUACAAUCCAAUAUUGUCUUACAUGACUUUCAGUGGAGCCAACAACCAAAAUUAAUGAUCCAUAUUACCUGUGGGAAAGUUGAGAUCCUAGCAAGUUCCUGGGAA